rnacentral:rRNA from 1 species
UGGGGAAUAUUGGACAAUGGGCGCAAGCCUGAUCCAGCCAUGCCGCGUGAGUGAUGAAGGCCCUAGGGUUGUAAAGCUCUUUCACCGGUGAAGAUAAUGACGGUAACCGGAGAAGAAGCCCCGGCUAACUUCGUGCCAGCAGCCGCGGUAAUACGAAGGGGGCUAGCGUUGUUCGGAUUUACUGGGCGUAAAGCGCACGUAGGCGGACUUUUAAGUCAGGGGUGAAAUCCCGGGGCUCAACCCCGGAACUGCCUUCGAUACUGGAAGUCUUGAGUAUGGUAGAGGUGAGUGGAAUUCCGAGUGUAGAGGUGAAAUUCGUAGAUAUUCGGAGGAACACCAGUGGCGAAGGCGGCUCACUGGACCAUUACUGACGCUGAGGUGCGAAAGCGUGGGGAGCAAACAGG